AAGAAGUGUGAUUGACUGGGGUUUCUUCUGAUUUAAGGUUUCUGUUUUGAGAGAGGAUGAGAGAAGUAAUAUUUUGAACUUCUGAUUUCAAAAAUGCGCUUUCAAAUAGUACAUUUAACUUCCCUCUCUCCAUUUUGCUUAGUGGGAUAGGUGUCGUAUUCUGCUUGGCUCUACGAAUUUUGACUAAGAGGGAUUGUACUGAUUUGCCCUUAGCUCCUGCAGAGCUG
rnacentral:lncRNA from 1 species